rnacentral:rRNA from 2 species
AACGCUGGCGGCGUGCCUAAUACAUGCAAGUCGAACGAAGCUUUCUUUCACCGAAUGCUUGCAUUCACCGAAAGAAGCUUAGUGGCGAACGGGUGAGUAACACGUAGGCAACCUGCCCAAAAGAGGGGGAUAACACUUGGAAACAGGUGCUAAUACCGCAUAACCAUGAACAUCGCAUGAUGUUCAUGUAAAAGACGGCUUUUGCUGUCACUUUUGGAUGGGCCUGCGGCGUAUUAACUUGUUGGUGGGGUAACGGCCUACCAAGGUGAUGAUAUGUAGCCGAACUGAGAGGUUGAUCGGCCACAUUGGGACUGAGACACGGCCCAAACUCCUACGGGAGGCAGCAGUAGGGAAUCUUCCACAAUGGACGAAAGUCUGAUGGAGCAACGCCGCGUGAAUGAAGAAGGCCUUCGGGUCGUAGAAUUCUGUUGUCAGAGAAGAACGUGCGUGAGAGUAACUGUUCACGUAUUGACGGUAUCUGACCAGAAAGCCACGGCUAACUACGUGCCAGCAGCCGCGGUAAUACGUAGGUGGCGAGCGUUGUCCGGAUUUAUUGGGCGUAAAGGGAACGCAGGCGGUCUUUUAAGUCUGAUGUGAAAGCCUUCGGCUUAACCGAAGUAGUGCAUUGGAAACUGGAAGACUUGAGUGCAGAAGAGGAGAGUGGAACUCCAUGUGUAGCGGUGAAAUGCGUAGAUAUAUGGAAGAACACCAGUGGCGAAAGCGGCUCUCUGGUCUGUAACUGACGCUGAGGUUCGAAAGCGUGGGUAGCAAACAGGAUUAGAUACCCUGGUAGUCCACGCCGUAAACGAUGAGUGCUAAGUGUUGGAGGGUUUCCGCCCUUCAGUGCUGCAGCUAACGCAUUAAGCACUCCGCCUGGGGAGUACGGUCGCAAGACUGAAACUCAAAGGAAUUGACGGGGGCCCGCACAAGCGGUGGAGCAUGUGGUUUAAUUCGAAGCAACGCGAAGAACCUUACCAGGUCUUGACAUCUUCUGACAAUUCUAGAGAUGGAACGUUCCCUUCGGGGACAGAAUGACAGGUGGUGCAUGGUUGUCGUCAGCUCGUGUCGUGAGAUGUUGGGUUAAGUCCCGCAACGAGCGCAACCCUUAUUGUCAGUUGCCAUCAUUAAGUUGGGCACUCUGGCGAGACUGCCGGUGACAAACCGGAGGAAGGUGGGGAUGACGUCAAAUCAUCAUGCCCCUUAUGACCUGGGCUACACACGUGCUACAAUGGACGGUACAACGAGUCGCUAACUCGCGAGGGCAAGCUAAUCUCUUAAAGCCGUUCUCAGUUCGGAUUGCAGGCUGCAACUCGCCUGCAUGAAGUCGGAAUCGCUAGUAAUCGCGAAUCAGCAUGUCGCGGUGAAUACGUUCCCGGGCCUUGUACACACCGCCCGUCACACCAUGAGAGUUUGUAACACCCAAAGUCGGUGGGGUAACCUUUUGGAGCCAGCCGCCUAAGGUGGGACAGAUGAUU